CGCACACAUGCACACACAUGCACGUACACACACACUAUUCCUAAUGUCCCAGCGCUUCCCUAUCUUGAAUAUCAAUUCACUAUUCUUCAGAGCAUUGCUACUCAGAGUGCAGGCUGAGGACUGGCAGCAUCGGUAUCACCUGGGAGCUUGUUUGAAUUGGUCCCAUCUCAGACCAUCCGAAUUAGAAUCUGCAUUUCCCAAGCCCUGGGGGACUCUGUUACACAUUCAAGCCUGAGACGCACUGCUUUAGAGGCCUCCAACGCCAGACGGCUCAGUGUCAAAACACCACCAACAACACACAUCCUAUGGAAAGUGCUACCAGGUGACAUCUCUUCCCUAUUUUGGCUCCAACACUGUCCCCUUUAGCACACAGCUGGAAUCUAAGAUCCGAAGGAGAAGUUUCUUCUGUGGCUUACGAAGAGAUUGAGAGGCUGGAGACAGAAGAUACUCAGCUAGAAGAUUCCUCUGUGAGGCUGCUAGUACUUCUCCAGCAGACCAAGCCAGGAGAGCUUUCUCAAAGAUUCUACCAGAUUUUCCAGGGGUUCUCAAAGAUUGUCUGCAAACCAGCUCUGAUAAAUGAUUGCAGCUUCUUGAGUCUAUAGAGAGAGACCUUUAUGCUCUCUCUACUAGGAAGUAAUGCUUUUUUCCCUGAGAUUAUGUUCUUUUUAAAAUUUUUAUGUGCUUUUAAAAUCUCAUGUGUGUAUUAACAUGUCCUUUCUUUAUAGAAUGUUGAAGACAAUAUAUAAAUUUCUGAAAAGAUUUGAAUGAUUUGAUUUGGCAAAAUAAAGAAUUGCCAAUCCUACAUAGAGCUCCAUACACCAAUUUUUAAAAAUAAUUUUAUUGCUUCACAAAAUCUGGGAACCACUGGAUAUAUGAAGUAUCUCUUUUAGCUAAAGCAAAGUCAACUCUCACCCUCGAAAAAAGUUCAUUUUUUGAUCUGUUUUUAUUUUUCUGUGGCAAAAAGUGCUUUUGUGAUGCCUCUAUGAAUAAAAGACUCAUUUUCCUAAGUGAUGCAUCUGCUUUUAAUGUCUUAAAUGCUGGGAUAGAACAGACAUAUCUUCCCUGGUCUGGGUUUUCUUAAAUAGCCAGAAGUCUUCGUGAUGAAGACAAGCAAGCAUCUAAUAGAGAAAUAACUCCAAGACAAAGUGCCGUGGCUGCACGAUGUCGCCUCCCUGACAACCUAUAAAUGGACCAUAUUGAUGAAGUGAACAGGACUCUCUCUGGUCAUUUUCAACUAGAAACUAAUAAUCCCCGUCAUGAUAUCAGGCAUGCAAUAACCUCGGUUAAGACUAGGUUCAUCAAAUAAAUCACUCAGGAAUUUCUCUAUUUCUUUCUCUGGACACAUUGCACAUCUGCUCAAUGAAAGGAAGAAAGAAGCAAUAUUUCUUUGAUCAGGAAUUUUUUUUUAAUAUUCUUGUAUCCAUCCCUUGGGAUACUAUCUUUUCAAGUGGGUGCAGAUAAUACAUCACUUUCUAAUGAAUGUGGAGAAUUUAUGAAUUUAAGCUAUAAAACCAAAUAUGAGGGAUUUUAGUUUAUCUCAAUCUAUAUUUUACACUGUCAUGAGAAAAUAAACCGGACCACA
rnacentral:lncRNA from 10 species